rnacentral:rRNA from 1 species
UACGUAGGGUGCAAGCGUUGUCCGGAAUUAUUGGGCGUAAAGAGCUCGUAGGCGGUCUGUCGCGUCGGCUGUGAAAACUCGGGGCUCAACCCCGAGCUUGCAGUCGAUACGGGCAGGCUAGAGUUCGGCAGGGGAGACUGGAAUUCCUGGUGUAGCGGUGAAAUGCGCAGAUAUCAGGAGGAACACCGGUGGCGAAGGCGGGUCUCUGGGCCGAUACUGACGCUGAGGAGCGAAAGCGUGGGGGAGCGAACAGG